GGUACCCAAAAUGUGUGGAACUCGUGAUCAGAGAAUCCUAAUUCUUGAUCACAGAGUCUCAGACACGUAGGACUCAUAGUCCACGAGCAUUAGGACUCUUCAUCAGCCAUCAGAUCAGAUAGGAACCUCUAAUGUGUGCGACCCCGCAAGUUCGAACCUAAGCCGGUAGCACAGGAACCAAUUCCUGUACUAAUCAAAGUGACCAUCUAGCAAUGGUACCCGACAUCCGGAU
rnacentral:lncRNA from 1 species